AUUGAACGCUGGCGGCAUGCCUAACACAUGCAAGUCGAACGGUAACAGGAAGAAUCUUGCUUCUUUUCUUACUAUUGUCUGACGGGUGAGUAAUUUCUUGGAAACUGCCUGAUGGAGGGGGAGAACUACUGGAAACGGUAUCUAAUACCGCAUAACGUCGCAAUACCAAAAAGGGGGACCUUCGGGCCUCUUGCCAUCGGAUGUGCCCAGAUGGGAUUAGCUAGUAGUUGGGGUAACGGCUCACCUAGGCGACGAUCCCUAGCUGGUCUGAGAGGAUGACCGGCCACACUGGAACUGAGAGACGGUCCAGACUCCUAAGGGAGGCCGCAGUGGGGACUAUUGCACAAUGGGCGCAAGCCUGAUGCAACCAUGCCGCGCGUAUGAAGAAGGCAUUCGGGUUGUAAAGUACUUUCCGCGGGGAGGAAGGGAGUAAAGUUCACACCUUUGCUCAUUGACGUUCCCCGGAGAAGAAGCCCCGGCUAACCCCGUG
rnacentral:rRNA from 1 species